CAGACUCCUACGGGAGGCAGCAGUGGGGAAUAUUGCACAAUGGGCGCAAGCCUGAUGCAGCCAUGCCGCGUGUGUGAAGAAGGCCUUCGGGUUGUAAAGCACUUUCAGCGGGGAGGAAGGCGUUAAGGUUAAUAACCUUGGCGAUUGACGUUACCCGCAGAAGAAGCACCGGCUAACUCCGUGCCAGCAGCCGCGGUAAUACGGAGGGUGCAAGCGUUAAUCGGAAUUACUGGGCGUAAAGCGCACGCAGGCGGUCUGUCAAGUCGGAUGUGAAAUCCC
rnacentral:rRNA from 1 species